UACGAAGGGGACUAGCGUUGUUCGGAAUCACUGGGCGUAAAGCGCACGUAGGUGGAUUUGUAAGUCAGGGGUGAAAUCCCACGGCUCAACCGUGGAACUGCUUGGUAUACUGGUUGUCUUGAGCCACUUAGGGGCAGUCGGAACAGACGGUGGAGCGGUGAAAUGCGUAGAUAUCGUCUGGAACGCCAACGGUGAAAACAGACUGCUGGGAGUGUGCUGACGCUGAGACACGAAAGCCAGGGGAGCAAACGGG
rnacentral:rRNA from 1 species